CGGACGGGUGAGUAACGCGUGGAAAACCUGCCGUAUACUGGGGGAUAACACUUAGAAAUAGGUGCUAAUACCGCAUAAGCGCACAGCUUCACAUGAAGCGGUGUGAAAAACUCUGGUGGUAUACGAUGGUUCCGCGUCUGAUUAGCUAGUUGGUGGGGUAAUGGCCUACCAAGGCAACGAUCAGUAGCCGGCCUGAGAGGGUGAACGGCCACAUUGGGACUGAGACACGGCCCAAACUCCUACGGGAGGCAGCAG
rnacentral:rRNA from 1 species